rnacentral:rRNA from 1 species
UGAGGAAUAUUGGACAAUGGGUGAGAGCCUGAUCCAGCCAUCCCGCGUGAAGGACGACGGCCCUAUGGGUUGUAAACUUCUUUUGUAUAGGGNUAAACCUACUCUCGUGAGAGUAGCUGAAGGUACUAUACGAAUAAGCACCGGCUAACUCCGUGCCAGCAGCCGCGGUAAUACGGAGGGUGCAAGCGUUAUCCGGAUUUAUUGGGUUUAAAGGGUCCGUAGGCUGAUUUGUAAGUCAGUGGUGAAAUCUCACAGCUCAACUGUGAAACUGCCAUUGAUACUGCAAGUCUUGAGUGUUGUUGAAGUAGCUGGAACAAGUAGUGUAGCGGUGAAAUGCAUAGAUAUUACUUAGAACACCAAUUGCGAAGGCAGGUUACUAAGCAACAACUGACGCUGAUGG